rnacentral:lncRNA from 1 species
CACUAAUGAAAACGACAGGAAGCUAGUGAUGUUGAAUUUCCAAGUAACCUCAUCAAUGCUCUCUUCAUUUCUUUCCCUUUAGGAUCUUCAUCUCGAACACCUCGAACAACAUUGCAAAAUCAACGAACACAUCGAUCUUCAUAAAACCAUCCUAAAACAGUCCAAAAUAAACAGUCCAAAACAGUGAUGCACAUACGAAAACCACUGGGAACCAUAUGCUAACAAUUGUCAAAGCAUUGUGAUUAUCUGCAAAAACAAAGACACUUAAUAAUAAGCCAAUAGCAUCAACAGACCACUGCUUACUUUUAGAGACAAAAAACUAAAUUUUCAAAGGGGUGAAAAGGCAAAACAUUGCAAAGUAUUCGCAACCAAGUUCAAAACAGUCCAAAAUAAAAUUAAAUAAAUCAGAUGCAUUAUUAAAUAAUUAACUAUUCUAUAACUCACCAGAUAAAUCUUAACCCUCCAAUAACUCCAAAAAAUAUGCUGACCAACGUAGUCGCAAUUCAUACAUCUCGUCAGCUGUUAACUCUUUUGGGUCAUUAAAUACCUACAAUAAGUAAAUAAUAAUAUAAAACUAUUCUUGACUCGGUUAUAAAAAAUUAUUGAUGUAUAAAAAAUAAAAAUUAUUAC